rnacentral:rRNA from 1 species
AGCGAACGCUGGCGGCAGGCCUAACACAUGCCAGUCGAACGAACUCUUCGGAGUUAGUGGCGGACGGGUGAGUAACACGUGGGAACGUGCCUUUUGGUUCGGAAUAACUCAGGGAACUUGGUGCUAUUACGAAUGGGGCCCUCGGGGGGAAAGAUUUAUCGCCAUUAGAGCGGCCCGCGUCUGAUUAGCUAGUUGGUGAGGUAACGGCUCACCAAGGCGACGAUCAGUAGCUGGUCUGAGAGGAUGACCAGCCACACUGGGACUGAGACACGGCCCAGACUCCUACGGGAGGCAGCAGUGGGGAAUCUUGCGCAAUGGGCGAAAGCCUGACGCAGCCAUGCCGCGUGAAUGAUGAAGGUCUUAGGAUUGUAAAAUUCUUUCACCGGGGACGAUAAUGACGGUACCCGGAGAAGAAGCCCCGGCUAACUUCGUG